rnacentral:rRNA from 1 species
AGAACGAACGCUGGCGGCAGGCCUAACACAUGCAAGUCGAGCGCUGUAGCAAUACAGAGCGGCGCACGGGAGAGUAAUACGUGGGAACCUACCCUUUGGUUCGGAAUAACGUCGGGAAACUGACGCUAAUACCGAAUAAGCCCUUCGGGGGAAAGAUUUAUUGCCGAAGGAUGGGCCCAUGUUGGAUUAGCUAGUUGGUGAGGUAACGGCUCACCAAGGCAACGAUCCAUAGCUGGUCUGAGAGGAUGAUCAGCCUCACUGGGACUGAGACACGGCCCAGACUCCUACGGGAGGCAGCAGUGGGGAAUAUUGGACAAUGGGGGCAACCCUGAUCCAGCCAUGCCGCGUGAGUGAUGAAGGCCUUCGGGUUGUAAAGCUCUUUUGGCGGGACGAUGAUGACGGUACCGCAGAUAAGCCCGCUAACUUCGUGCCAGCAGCCGC